rnacentral:rRNA from 1 species
AAACCAACAGGGAUUGCCUCAGUAACGGCGAGUGAAGCGGCAAAAGCUCAAAUUUGAAAUCUAGCACCCUUGGUGCUCGAGUUGUAAUUUGAAGAUUGUACUCUGUUGCUGGCUCCUAUCUAUGUUCCUUGGAACAGGACGUCAUAGAGGGUGAGAAUCCCGUGUGAUGGGGUGCCCAGCAGCAUGUAGAGUGCUCUCGAAGAGUCGAGUUGUUUGGGAAUGCAGCUCUAAGUGGGUGGUAAAUUCCAUCUAAAGCUAAAUAUUGGCGAGAGACCGAUAGCGAACAAGUACAGUGAUGGAAAGAUGAAAAGAACUUUGAAAAGAGAGUGAAAAAGUACGUGAAAUUGUUGAAAGGGAAGGUUAUUAGAUCAGACUUGGCGUUGUGCUAUAUUCGCUCCCUCGUGGGGCGUUCACUAGCGCUGCGCUGGGCCAGCAUCGAUUUGCGCGGCGGGACAAUGGCUGUUGAACGUGGCUGCCUCGGCAGUGUUAUAGCUUCAGCUGAUGCCGCCUGCGCAGAUCGAGGAGUGCGUCUUCGGACUAGGAUGCUGGCGUAAUGAUCUAAUAUCGC